AUUGAACGCUGGCGGCAUGCUUUACACAUGCAAGUCGGACGGCAGCACAGAGAGGCUUGCCUCUUGGGUGUCGCGUGGCGAAGGGGGGAGUAAAAUACCUCAACGUAUCGAGUAACGGGGGAGAUCUAAUCGAAAGAUUAGCUAUUACCGCAUAUACUCUGAAGAGGAAAGAAGGGGAGCUCCGGGCACUUUGUUAGUCUAGCUGACGAUAUCUGAUUAGCUAGUUGGUGGGGUAAAGGCCUACCAAGGCGACGAUCCGUAGCGGGUCUGAGAGGAUGAUCCGCCACACUGGAACUGAGACACGGCCCAGACUCCUACGGGAGGCAGCAGUGGGGAAUAUUGGACAAAGGGCGCAAGCCUGAUCCAGCCAUGCCGCGUGUGUGAAGAAGGCCUUCGGGUUGUAAAGCACUUUUGUCAGGGAAGAAAAGCAUGAUGCUAAUAUCAAUAGGUGCUGACGGUACCUAAAGAAUAAGCACCGGCUAACUACGUG
rnacentral:rRNA from 1 species